GGCAGGGCCAGCAAGAUGGCGGCGUUGUGUGAGUUGCAGCGUCUUUAUGGACAAACUUGAUGUUUUGGAGUUUGGCAGGAUGUCUGGAUUUACAGCAGUCCAGACAGAACUACCUUGAAUGUUUUUGCUAUGCUGAUACAUUUCUGUCUUCUACAGUGCCUGCGGAGAUCAGCUGUGUGCUGCGUUUGUACCAAAUCCAAACCUUGUGCUCUAUACUAUCUUAUGACGUUCAUUGUACCGUAAUUGUUUCUGUGCUUCAUGUAUUUACUUCCUUGGAAAGCACACUGUGUGAAGAUACCAUCAAGAGCAAAUGAGCCGCAUGUUUUGUGCACAAGAAAUGUGACAUCUCCGUUUUGUCAGAUUUACUGCAUGUACCAAGACUAUUCAUGUGGCAGGUUUGCAUUGUAAUUGGUGCUUUUUAGAAGUACAUAUUCGUUGUCAGUCUAAAAAAAUUACAAAUUGACGCACGAUGGCUUCAGCUUGGGCUUUUAGCCACUCCAAAUAUGUGAAAAACAUGCAAAGUUUUGCCUGCAGAAGGCUGGUAUAAUUGCCUUUUUGUGCAGCUGAGCAGUAAUUCACUUAACAGUUGGCUGUAAAAGGCAUCACUGUUUGUAGAUGUGACAAUGAUAGGUUGAAGCCCUGUGUCUUAAACAGAACCAGGGAUAAUGUAGUGCCAUGAGGGUAUGGGAAUAGAAAUGGAAUAUCUUUUUGCAUUCCCCAAUUCAUUUUCAUUCCUAGAUUUUCAUUUUUGAUGUAUAUUGGCUCUCCUGAGUUGU